rnacentral:snRNA from 1 species
GGAUGUGAGGGCGAUCUGGCUGCGACAUCUGUCACCCCACUGAUCGCCAGGGCUGAUGCGGCUGAUGUGGCUGGCUAGGCAGGUGUCCCCUUCCUCCCUCACCGCUCCAUGUGCGUCCCUCCCGAAGCUGCGCGCUCGGUCGAAGAGGACGACCUUCCCCGAUAGAGGAGAGGACCGUUCUUCGGUCAAGGGUAUACGAGUAGCUGCGCUCCCCUGCUAGAACCUCCAAACAAGCUCUCAAGGAUGUAGUACUCCUAUUAUUGAUGUUAGGUUAUCCCCAAGGAAACAGAAUCACGAGUUCAUAAUAUGGCAAAGAUUCCGGUACUUAUCAGAAAAAUUGU